CACGCCCUAAACGAUGUCAACUGGUUGUUGUGAGGCUCGACCUUGCAGUAAUGCAGUUAACACAUUAAGUGUACCGCCUGGGGAGUACGGUCGCAAGAUUAAAACUCAAAGGAAUAGACGGGGACCCGCACAAGCGGUGGAGCAUGUGGUUUAAUUCGACGAUACACGAAGAACCUUACCUGGACUUGACAUAGUAAGAACUUUCUAGAGAUAGAUUGGUGUCUGCUUGCAGAAACUUAUAUACAGGUGC
rnacentral:rRNA from 1 species